ACCUGGUUGAUCCUGCCAGUAGUCAUAUGCUUGUCUCAAAGAUUAAGCCAUGCAUGUGUGAGUAUAAGUGUUAUACAGCGAGACUGCGAAUGGCUCAUUACAACAGUUAUAGUUCACUUGUGAGGCGUGUAUAUGGAUAACCGUAGUAAUUCUAGAGCUAAUACAUGCUGGUUGCGCAGUGCGCAGCAUUUAUUAGAUAAAACCCAGCGGAGCAAUCCGGUGAGGAGUCAUAGUAAC
rnacentral:rRNA from 1 species